GAGCAAGCCGCGGGCCUAGAGGGGCAGGACGGUGUCUGUGGGCGGGGCGUCCUGUCUACCUCGCUGCUGUUCUGUACUCGUUGGUGGCGGUACAAGAGGUGUGACUGCUGUGAUUGGCCUUUGGGAAUAUUUUGAUUACUGAUCGAUGGAGGACCCAGCUCAUUGUGGACUGGUGCCACCCUUGGUCCUGGGGUAUAUGAGAAAGCUGAGUGAGUGAACAAGCCAGAAAGCAGCGUUCCUUCGUGGUUUCGAGUCCUGCCGCACGGAAUCGAUAUUAGACUGUGAUGUGGAAGUGUAAGCAAAAUAAACCCUUUCCUUCCCAAGUUGCUUUUGGCCAUGUUUAUUACAGCAAUAGAAACCCUGAGUAAGAGAGGGUAUUGGACAUUGGAUUUUGUAUUGCGGCUUGCCCUUCUGGGAUGGCUAAACUAUUUUUCAACACGGACUGGAAAAGUUUCAGUUAGUUUGUGAGGGGAAUUAUUUUCUGAGUAAUGUAAAUCUGCACUAGAGCUUCUUUUAAGAGCAGUUUCCCAGCGUUUCAAGACUGGGUUACUCUGCUUAUCCUCAAUUGUUGAUAACCUGUUUCAAAAAACAGAGAAACCACCACCAACAAAACAAAAACAAAGAGGCUGCUGUGACUCAGCACACCUAUAAAUCCCGGCACUUAGGCAUACGAGGAUCAGAGGUUAAAGGCCAUCCUUAGGUACAUAGCAAGUUCAAGGCGAUCUUAGACAACGUGAAAGCCUAUCUCAACCAAAAACUCAAAAAGCAUGGUGUAGCUUGUAAGUCUUUAUCUCAGCACUUGAAGGAUGGAGGCAGAUCAGGAGUUCAAGGUCUUCUUCACCUACACAAGUUCCAGACUUUUUCCUACAUGACAAUCUGUCGCAAUCAAACAAACAAGAUGAAACAUCUCUGUAUCUGUCUCUAUCAUUAUGUGACUUUCAUUACG